AAGACUCCGAAUGCGGGCUCACUUUCCUUGGUAGUUAAAGCAAAGUGGCAAAAGGAAGUUCUAGUUAGACAUAACCUAGUUCAAUAGAAAUGACCAAAAGAUGGCUUCAGCUCUUGCUUGUCUGUGGCUUCCAGGCUCUAUUUUCCUCCUGUAAGCCUAAACCCUGAAACGGAAGCUAGCUUGAGUUCAGUGCACGCAGUGAAGAGUCCAAUCGGCUCAUAUAAGCUUCUGCCUCUGGAACUCUCCUCAGGACCAGCACCGUGCCUGGUAAACAGUGGCUAUUUAUAAAUACUGUCGCCUGGGGACAAAUUUACAAGUUGGGGCAAAGUGGUUUCCUCCAUUGCCUCAUCAAGGUUUCUCAUGGAAGCCAUGUGUUAAAGAUAGUGGGACCACAAAACAGAAGGAAACUUGGUCCCUGAAUCAUGUCUUGGAGGACAGCUUUGUGCCUGUUAAGAACUGUCCUUCUGGAUUUUCUGUAACAUCACCUUCAAUAUUCUAAACCAAUGAGGAUAUUCUUACUAUCCUCCUCAGCACCCUGGUGUCAUUCCAAGAAGUCACCGAGAUACAUUCUAAUAUCCAGAGGACCAAUCCUGCUUCACAGUCAAUCGCAGCCAAAAUUCUAGCUCCCUAGAAGACGAAAGACCUCAUAAUUCCUACCAGAAGCUGGUGGCUUCCUAAACGAACCAUGUUGCUCCUGGUGGUGUUGCCAUUGCUAACAAUAAAAGUGUAUUUUAUGCAGAAGGUGAUCUUAUGGAGGAGUGACAUAGACACUCAUGAGAGGUGCUGUGCUUGGAAGGGUCUCAUGCUGGUCUAGGGAGCAGAGUGGGUUUAUCUCUUUAUGCCAUCUGUUCAGCGUAGCAUCUGCCUGAAUGCAGGGGAAGAAAUCAAUCAGCAGAGUACUUUACUACUUUGCUUUAGUCAGGACCAAGAUACUUGUUUGCUUAUUUAUGUGUUCUUGGGGUGAUGGAAAAAAGGAAUUAGAACAAAAAUUAUUUUCCAAUUCUCCAUUGCCACUUCUCUCAAUCUUCCCUCCUCCUUGUUUAUGCCAUGUUUAUUUAUCCCAGCCACAAGAACAGAAAUUAUCUCCAAAGUAGGUGGCUCAAUAAUAAUUGAGGUUGUAAAACUCAUUGUGACUGAUCAUGUUUACCUGUUUGGUUAUCUAAUUAAACUCAAGGUGGACUCUCUCUUUAGGUAGAUUCUAUAUUUUAUUACAUUUGUAAAAUCCUAAGACACUUAUGCUAUCCUCAAUUCUCAAAAAUGAUUAUAUUGUUUUUGCAGCUGUCAGAACAGAUAGAUGUCUGAGUAUUACUAUUACAUAAACAGGUAAACAAUCUUAUAGAGUGAUCUAAAUUUCCCCGUUCUGUGAGUUGGUGGUUCUCCGUGUUAUUUCUCUCCAUCUUGACCGGCUACAAGAAAAGAAAAGGCGGAUGCAAUCUGGGUGCUCCCAUCUGUUUUUACUCUCGCAGAAGAACUAAUAUUCAAGUCUUUGAGGAAGUAACUGAAAUCUCUUUUAAUUUUGCUUGUCCAGUAUCAAGAACGUUCCAGUGGCCUAUGAAAAACAAAUGUCUGCCUAAGGGACCUUUGGACCUUUCCUUGGCAAAGAAAAUCGUGUUAAGAAGUUGGACUCCAUCAGGCGUUAGCUAGCCUAGCUGAAGGAAGUGGUACUGAAUUGGCUGACCCAUACCUGGCCAAAUUGAAACUCACAGAAGAGCACAGUGGAGGAAAAGGGAGCAGACAAAAGACAGUGUUCUCCUAAUUUUCCAUUUCCUGAGAGAUUACUUUUAAAAUGAAAUUCCGAAGCCCCCAAGAGUGAUUAGAAUUGUUCUCCUGUGACGGGGCGCCUGGGUGGCGCAGUCGGUUAAGCGUCCGACCUCAGCCAGGUCACGAUCUUGCGGUCCGUGAGU